GAAGGGAUGGCGCAGCGAAAAAAAAAGAAAUUAAUUUGAAAUUUAUUACGAAGCCUGUCCGUUACAAUUAAUUGUUAGUUCAGGUGGAGGAAAAAUGUAAUCUUUUUGUCGGUGGUGAAGAAACAAUAACAAAGUUUUUACUUAAAAAGCCUGUGAAUUUAUGAAUUUUAUAAUAUUUUCGUUUUCAGAAUUUAUCGAUUAUGUUCGUUGGUGCUUCGGGAAUUGGCAGAACGAUACGGAGUCAACGAAUAUUCCCGGAACAGGAAUGAACUUCCCGGUUAGUAAACGAAAUCCACGGAAGCAAGUCGGGCCGAAUAAGAGAGGCAAAUAGGAUCAGCUGCUGUCGAAAUACUGGCUCCCGAAAUCCCGAUGCAAACCAUCCGAAGAGCCUUAAGAAAACAAAGGAAGUGAACGAAAAAAAAAAAUGGAACAAACUCGAAAUUUGCUGGAGAACUCUGACCCGGAAACGACGAGGGUGUCAUUCACUACAGAGGGUAAAGGCAGGAAAAACUUUACACCCAUGAGCCGAUCAGUUGGAAAAUGGCAUAUACGAUUAGUUAAUGUUGAAAGGAAAACUAUGAGAUCAAAAAGACUCCGAACAUCCGGGCCCCGACGGAACGCAUUUCUUCUCAGGAUCAUCAGGAAUCAGGCUUACCCGAGUCGAUUACGUUUGAAACUAAAAUAUUCCUACGUACAGUAUCGCAAAGCAGCAUCAAUUUUUUAUAUGCGCCGAUCUUGGCAGUGGCCCUACUCACUACUGCAUUCGAUAACGAAACUUGGGUGUGCUGAGUGUUCAGCUUCGAGAACGGCUUUGGAGAAAUAUUCUCUAUCAGAUGCUCUGGAAACUGUUCGAGGUUACGGUUGUUAGGAAGCCCUUUCCUCGCGGACGCUAUGUGGCCACAUUCGGGGCGGUAUGGAAUGCGGAGAUGGUUAUAUGUGCGAUUGUCCCAUUCCGCCUUUUUCCCAUGAGAGGCGUCAGCUAUCGAACGAGAUUAAAUGGAAUUUAAAAAAAAGGAGUUUAAACUAUAAUGUAUGCUACAUACUGAAGAA